rnacentral:rRNA from 1 species
UACGGGGGGGGCAAGCGUUGUUCGGAAUUACUGGGCGUAAAGGGCUCGUAGGCGGCCAACUAAGUCGGACGUGAAAUCCCUCGGCUUAACCGGGGAACUGCGUCCGAUACUGGAUGGCUUGAGUGUGGGAGAGGGAUGCGGAAUUCCAGGUGUAGCGGUGAAAUGCGUAGAUAUCUGGAGGAACACCGGGGGCGAAGGCGGCAUCCUGGACCACGACUGACGGUGAGUGAGCGAAAGCCAGGGGAGCAAACGGG